rnacentral:rRNA from 1 species
UCGGUGACUUUGAAUGAGGAUAAAGACAAAAUAAAAUGGUCUUUGACUAAAAAAGGAGUUUAUACUGUAAAAUCCUUUUACAGGCACCUGAUUGAAAAUGGUGUCAAAUAUCCACACUUGUAUGUGUGGAAGAUUAAAAUGCCACCCAGAAUCAAAGUGUUCAUGUGGUUGGAUCUUACAAAAAGCAUUCUUACAAAAGAUAAUCUGCCACGUAGGGGGUGGAAAGGUGAUGAUGAGUGUCCUUUUUGUGAGUGUAAAGAAAGUAUAAAUCAUCUUUUUUUGUCCUGUUCAGUUGCUAGAUUACUGUGGAACAUCUUAAAAUGUGCUUUCAAUUUGAGAGACAUUCCAGAAACCCUGGAUGCUGUUAUGAAAACCUGGGUAAUACAUUUAGUAAAGAUGAAAAAAGUCUGGUCAUGA